rnacentral:rRNA from 1 species
GACGAACGCUGGCGGCGUGCUUAACACAUGCAAGUCGAACGGUGAAGCGCCUUCCUUUUUGGUGGGUGUGGAUGAGUGGCGAACGGGUGAGUAACACGUGAGUAACCUGCCCCCUUCUUCUGGAUAACCGCAUGAAAGUGUGGCUAAUACGGGAUAUUCUGGGUCUGUCGCAUGAUGGGUCUGGGAAAGAUAUUGUUUCGGUGGGGGAUGGGCUCGCGGCCUAUCAGCUUGUUGGUGGGGUGAUGGCCUACCAAGGCGGUGACGGGUAGCCGGCCUGAGAGGGUUGACGGUCACACUGGGACUGAGACCCGGCCCAGACUCCUACGGGAGGCAGCAGUGGGGAAUAUUGCACAAUGGGCGCAAGCCUGAUGCAGCGACGCCGCGUGAGGGAUGGAGGCCUUCGGGUUGUGAACCUCUUUCGCCAGUGAAGCAGGCCUGCCUCGUUUGUGGGUGGGUUGACGGUAGCUGGAUAAGAAGCGCCGGCUAACUACGUG